GCGAGAUGUCACGACAACGUCACGUGACCACAAAUGACUACGGUUUGGCCAGGUUGCAAAGCUCAGCGUUUGGCGAGUUGGCAAAACAAAAGCAUCAUUAUUAAAUGAAGCCGGUGCCUCUGCUCCUCCAAAUCAUCAACAUAAAAAGCAGACCUUAACCGUACGUGCCAACAUGGCUCUGCUGCCACGACGCAACGAGUCGCCAUUUUGAAAAGGGGCCAAGCGCAGAAAAACGUCUUAAACUGGACGUUUUGUUAUCAAUAAUAACUACCGACAGACGCCAGGAGGCGAUACAAUUUAAAAUGAGCCUGUAUUGGCUUUGAAAUCUGCCCAUACAAAGUCGCAGCUGAUAGCUGGAUGAACAAUCCUAAGGAAUGGCCUGCAGUGGAGUAUGGAAACAUAUAGAACUACCUCAUAAAGUCACCCAGGUUAUUUAGCAGAGAAGCCAUGGAAAACUACAAGUCCUUGGAGGCUCAUUCAUUUUUUACAUCUGGUUAUGUUCCAGGCCAUAUGCAUUUCACACAGAUACAGUUUCAGAUGUACGUGUGCAGUGCUACAUAUGGUGACCUUAUCUAUUGGUCACCAAAGUUCUGAGUAGUGAAACGUGUACAACGCAAAGAGAAUUUCAUUGCCAGCAUGAUAGACAGGGUUGAGGCUUUUUGGAGGAAGCACAUCCACAGCAGACUCUUGGCCCCAGAAGAAAAAGAGAACGUUACGCCUGACACUUCCCAAAUGGACCAGACACUUCAUUGUGUGUGCAAAACUAACUCAGAAGAAGGGCCUAUGGUGGGAUGUGACUCAUGCAAUAACUGGUUUCACCUGCCAUGUUUGAAACUUAAAAGGCUGCCAAAAGCAAAGAAAUGGUAUUGCCAAGACUGCCGUAAAAAGAAAUGAGCUUGUUUAAUUCAACAUUUUGUUGUUUUUGCUUACAUAUCAUCUAAAUAUUUUUAUGGUGUUUGCACUUUUUUUUUUAAUGUACUUGUGUUCUACCUCAUCUUUGUGCAAUAAAAUCUAUACUUAGUUUUUAUCUUGUUUUAUGAACCAUUUCAUUUACAAAUAAGACAAUAACAAGAAUGGAGCUGUCAUGUCUUGUUCAGAACUUUAUUAAUGUAAAUUUACAACAACAACAAAAUAAUUUAAAAAAUACAGAGUAAAUUUGCUGCAACAGUCAAAACAGACACCAAACUAAAAAUACAUUUGAACAGUCAAAAAUCCAGAAAUUAAAUGAGAUUUUGAAUAAGAAACUAAUAAAAAUAUUAAGAAAAAAAAUGAUCUCAGCUUAAUGUUCAUCAUACACAAAGCUGGGGCACAUGUUGCUCAAAAUGGCACACACUCGCACAAUCUUAUCGCAGUUCGAUAAAGUGCAGCCCAGCGCUUCAUCUUUCACAUUCUGAACA